UACGAAGGGGGCUAGCGUUGUUCGGAAUCACUGGGCGUAAAGCGCACGUAGGCGGAUCUUUAAGUCAGGGGUGAAAUCCUGGAGCUCAACUCCAGAACUGCCUUUGAUACUGCAAGUCUCGAGUCCGGAAGAGGUGAGUGGAAUUCCUAGUGUAGAGGUGAAAUUCGUAGAUAUUAGGAAGAACACCAGUGGCGAAGGCGGCUCACUGGUCCGGUACUGACGCUGAGGUGCGAAAGCGUGGGGAGCAAACAGG
rnacentral:rRNA from 1 species